rnacentral:lncRNA from 1 species
CACUUACUACUUUCAAUUUUGAUCUGGAGGAAAAUCUACCUGAACAUCCCACCCAGAUCAUUUUUAAAAUAAUCUAAUGACUAUGUGUUUACUGCAGUUGGAAAGAGGAUUGUAGAGUAAAAUCUGUAUAUUUGGAGGUUCCCUGAAAAGGUAGAAAAUUAAAUGAAGUAUUAUCAUGUGAAUACAACAAUUAUCAUAAAACAAACAAGUGUAAAGUAGGGGAAAUACUGACAUAUUUGAUUAUUGGCAGUAUUUUGUGAAAGGAUACAGGAAUGGGGGAUGUUAUCAACUUUAAAAUGUCAAGAAACCGUAUUUAUGAAUAUAUUUGAAAAGAGUCCUUCUCAGGAUGCCAAAAAUCUCAUACAGAAUUUCUUUUUAAAAUUCUAUUAGUACGUUUUCUUGUAGCAAUCUCUUAUUUUAGAUAAUAUACAGGGUAACUGAAGAAAUUUUAGGAGAACACUUUAAUACUUAAAGAAAAAUCUUUUUCUAUUACUUUACAAUAAUCAAUAGUUUGGCACUAUUAUAAGCAUUAAAGAAGAAACAAUGCUAAAUUAAAAAAAAAAGAGAGAAAACAGGAGUUCCUGUUGCGGCACAAAGGAAACAAAUUUGACUAGGAACCAUGAGGUUGUGGGUUCAAUCCCUGGCCUCACUCAGUGAGUUAAGGAUCUGGUGUUGCUGUGAGCUGUGGUGUAGGUCGCAGAUGCAGCUUGGAUCUGGAGUUGCUAUAGUUGUGGCGUAGAUUGGCAGCUGUAGCUCUGAUUCCCUAGCCUGGGAACCUCCAUAUGCCACAGGUGCUGCCCUAAAAAGAAAAAAUAAAUAAAUGAAUGAAUAAAUAAAUAAAUAUAGAAAAAAUAAAAAGAAAUAAUAAUAAUAAACAAAAUCAUAGAAUCACAUGUUUAAUCAAAUGGUCAGAAUAUUUGUUAAAGUGAUCAAUAAUGGUUGUGCUCAAAUUUAGAACAAAGGCAAACAGCUGAAAAUUCUCCCAUUCACCUCUCUCUGUUUUUGCUUCUUUUUCCAAAAUAUCUCUUGAACAAAAUGACAACAGUAUUCAAAGCAAGGGCUUAGCAAAUAUAAUUCUGGAGGGAUAAAAACACGAGGAAUAUCAUUACUUUAUACUUUUAUUGUCAUCUUUGCAUCUUCCUAGUGCUCUCAAAUUUAUCCUCUUUAUUCUAGACUGUUAUAAAAAUUUGCCUAUCAUUUAAAAAUAUCAAAUAAAUUAAUCCACACAGCAAAAGUAUUAACUACCACUUUCUAAGAUACUUGUAUGUAGGUUUAUGCUUACACACACACACAUCUUUAAUUUUAUAUAAACCAACCUUGCAAAAUCAGAAUUUUUUAUCAAUCAGGAAACUAAGGCUCAGAGAUGUUAGAUUCUUUGUGAAAGUCAUGCAGCUGGUGUAUCCUUGAACUUGUUUACUCUGGUUCAAUCCAUUAACAGGUGAAUUAUCUCAUACCUACUUUAGCCACAUGCAUAUACCAAAAUAAGCAUUAUAAAUUGUUUCUUCUAUGUAAAGCUAGUUCUAAAUUACCCCUACAUCAUUGUAUUGACUAUAAUGUUCAAAAUAUUUGGACAUUAAAAAGAACAUCAAAGUAUUCUUCUUUAUUUUAUUUUUUCUAGUUCCAUUGAUAAUAAUAGCUGACCUUAUUAAGGGAUGAUGAUCCUACAAUCAUUAUUCUAUACUUUCUAGGAACCAUUUCCCUCAAUAGUCACAACUCUAAUGAGGUGUCAUAUUAGUUAGACAGUUUCAAUAGUGAGUGACAAAAAGAAUGGAAAUGACAGGCUUUUACAAUGUGGAAAAAUUCUCUUUUAAGUAAAUAUAUGGGUAAGUUACGUAGGGAUGGUAUGAUGCCAAAAACCCAAGCUCCGAAAAGCUGGCAUAUGGUACUUUUCCCAUUUUGUUGGUCAUAAAACAGUCACAUGGGUAAAUGCAACAAAAAAGGAGCUGGAAAAUACAAUGUAAUUUAUGGAAGGCCAUUUAACUCAUUAAAAUUGGGGAGGCUGUAUCAAAAAGGGAUAAAAUACAAAAGGUAUUAAAAAAAAUCAGAAGCAUUCUCUAAGUAGGCAUAAUUAUUAUUCUUCUUUUCCAAAUGAGCAUAGUAAGACAAAGAGAUAUAAAGUAAUAUGCCUAAGGUCAUACAACAACUUGCUCCCUUCAGUUUUUGCUCACUUCACUGUGAAUGCUUAUUACAAGGUCAAUUUUAUCAUAAUGUCUGAUUUAUCUUCUGACUAUCUAUGUUUUUCCUUGAAUCAAAAAUCAUUCUGUCAUCUGCAAAGAUAGAUAGAAUAUGAACACAUAAAAGGUAAAGCAUCCAAAAAGUCAAGGGAGAGGAGGGGAAAAAAAGGCGAGGCCAAGAAUAAUUUAUUAUCAAAAUUAAGCUACCCUCUAUACAACAAAAUUAUCCUCAUAAAUGAAAAGGGGCACACUACUGAUGCAUGCAAUGACAUAGAUAAAUCACAAAAGCACUAUGUUAAAUGAAAGUAGCCAGACCCAAAAGGCUUCCUCCUGUAUGCUUCCAUUUUUAUGACUAUUGAAAAGGAAAACUAAUGAUAGAAAUCAGAUCAGUGGUUUGCCAGUGCCUGAGAGGGGAGCAGGGACAAUGACUGCAUAAAAGCAAGAAAAAAACUCCAUUUUUUUUUUUUUUUGCCAUGCCCACCGCACAUGGAAGUUCCUGGCCAGGGAUCAACCUGUGCCUCAUCAGCAACCUGAGCUACAGUAGUGACAACACCGGAUCCUUAACCUGAUGAGACACCAGAGAAUUGCAAGAUGAAAAUAUUUUGAUAUUGAAAUAGCUAAAAAGUAUCCAUUUGACUAUAUAUAAAUAAUACUUCAAUAAUCAUGAAUUAUACAAAAACAUAAACUGUGUAAGCUAUCAGGUAGUCUUAGUCAGCUGAGGAUUACAAUUUGCCUCUGAGUUUCAUAAACUGAAUGUGAGAUUAAAAUAACCAGUUAUGGAGUUCCCGUCGUGGCGCAGUGGUUAACGAAUCCGACUAGGAACCAUGAGGUUGCGGGUUCGGUCCCUGCACUUGCUCAGUGGGUUAAGGAUCCGGCGUUGCCGUGAGCUGUGGUGUAGGUUGCAGACGCGGCUCGGAUCCCGCGUUGCUGUGGCUCUGGCAUAGGCCGGUGGCUACAGCUCCGAUUCAACCCCUAGCCUGGGAACCUCCAUAUGCCGCGGGAGCAGCCCAAGAAAUAGCAACAACAACAACAACAAAAGACAAAAAAUAAAAUAAAAUAAAAUAAAAUAACCAGUUAUAAGGUCAUCAGUGUCUUUGACAAUAAUAUGAAGAGAAAUAAUCUGGGCAAGGAUGAAAUAAGAUGGUGUUUUUUUCAAAAAUACAGGUUGCUUUUAUGUAUCAUAGGUUGGUAAUAAACAUUUCAUUGUACCAGUUAUGUAAAUUAUAAAUUUGAGGUACAUCAUUUAAGCAGGAUUAAUUCAUGCCUGAGUUACUCAUUAAUGCCAUGGUUAAAAUUAUAUACUUAAAUGUACUCAGAACUCUAGAGAGCACCAUUCUUUGUUUGCAUGCACAAGAAAAUACAUAUAAACUAAUCUAAUCAAGGGUUAUUUAUAGUUCUAAUUGUCAAGUAGGUCUUAUCAACAUGAUUUUUGUCAGGUACCACUUUAUAAAUUCAUUCUAGUUUCUAAAUACCUCUUUCGUUGUUGUUAAAUUGGUUUAACAUAGGCUCAUACCUUAUUUAGUCUUUCUGUGCUAUUUAUCAUAUCUUCUAGCAAAAAGUCCAAAAAAAAAAAAAAAGAGAAUAAUCCACAUAUUAGAAUCACAUUAUUUUGUUUUGGAUCCUGGAAAACAUUCAUUAUAGAAAUAUUCAUUCACCCUGGCUCCCUCAUUUCCUACCUGGAACAUUGGAAAAGGCACUUAACUUCUCUGUACCUCAGUUACCUCACAAAAAAUGAAGCUAAUAAAAGCAGCUCACUAACAAAGUUCUAUGGUAAGGGUAAAAUUAGUCAGCAUAUGUAAAAUAAAGCAAGCAUUAUGUUAGGUGCUGCUACCAUCACUCUUAAUUCCUAUGUGACAUAGAUAUUCCUCAAAAGACAAAAUUAUAUCUAGUACCUCUCUAUAUAGAUACUGUGUAACCUUUUGAUGUCUUAUCACCUCCUACCAGAAAAGAGUAAAAAUGUAAAUUCCAUGGUAAUAAUGUCACAAAUUAAUACUAAGCCUGGACUAUACAUAAAUACCUUAAAAAUGAUAAAAUUCAGCCCAGCAAUCUGAAUAUAAUACACUAUGGGAAGCAUGUUUGUAUUACAGUUAAAAUGUAAGAAAACACACACACACACACACACAAAACAAAAAUGAAACCUAUGAUGUGUUGCUUAACAUUUGAUGGAUUCCAUCUUGGGUGACUUAUUUUAACUUUGGAUGAAACAUGGGGUCUAAUUUCAAAUCUAGUCAUUGAAAAAAAUCUUAGUAGGACUUUAAUCAGGUUUAAGUUAUGAUAGUAGCCAUGGAAAGUGAGGAUGUAAACACAUUCUGACAGAAUAGAAACAUGAGAUUAUUCCUUUUAAGAGAAUUGCAUCUCUUUCCCUUAAAGGACAUUAAAAACUUCAACAAUUAUUUCUUUAGGAGGCAUUACUCUCCCCACAACUCCAUCACAGUUUUCCUUUAGACAAGUUCACAUUCCACUUUUUACAGGGACAUUUAUCUCUGUAAAAAAUAUGGGAUAUGUUAUGGCACUGUUGUUACACUGGACAGAUCAG